rnacentral:rRNA from 1 species
GACGAACGCUGGCGGCGGGCUUAACACAUGCAAGUCGAACGGAAAGGCCCUGCUUUUGUGGGGUGCUCGAGUGGCGAACGGGUGAGUAACACGUGAGUAACCUGCCCUUGACUUUGGGAUAACUUCAGGAAACUGGGGCUAAUACCGGAUAGGAGCUCCUGCUGCAUGGUGGGGGUUGGAAAGUUUCGGCGGUUGGGGAUGGACUCGCGGCUUAUCAGCUUGUUGGUGGGGUAGUGGCUUACCAAGGCUUUGACGGGUAGGCGGCCUGAGAGGGUGACCGGCCACAAUGGGACUGAGAGACGGCCCAGACUCCUACGGGAGGCAGCAGUGGGGAAUAUUGCACAAUCGGCGGAAGCCUGAUGCAGCGACCCCGGGUGCGGAAUGACGGCCUUCGGGUUGUAAACCGCAUUAGCCUGAGACGAAGCGGUAGUGACGGUAAUGGGUGAAGAAGCACCGGCUAACUACGUG